rnacentral:lncRNA from 1 species
AAUUAGCCAUUAUCUAAGUUGGUAAGUAACAAAAUUAAAUUAGGAAAUGAAGAUUUGUUGGAUAUUAUCAAAUUUGGUAAUUAGCUAAUGCAUAUUUUCAAAUAUUAUCUUUAUGAUUGAUUGGUAACCUGUUGAGCAGAUUACCAUUGUGUAAAAGUCAAUCUUAACCUCAAAAAUUUGAAUCGUCGGAUUUAAAUUGGCUAGAGUAUAGAAGCAUUUCUCUUAAUACU